rnacentral:tRNA from 2 species
GGAGGGGUGGCCGAGCGGUCGAAGGCGCUCGACUGGAAAUCGAGUGUAUCCCCAAAAGGGAUACCGCGGGUUCGAAUCCCGCCUCCUCCG